AUUGAACGCUAGCGGGAUGCCUUACACAUGCAAGUCGAACGGAGUGGCGAACGGGUGAGUAAGGUAUCGGAACGUGACCAGUAGCGGGGGAUAACUACGCGAAAGCGUAGCUAAUACCGCAUACUAUUGGAGUGGCCGAUAUCGAAUUGGCUAGUUGGUGGGGUAACGGCUCACCAAGGCGACGAUACGUACCGGGUUUGAGAGGACGACCAGCCACACUGGAACUGAGACACGGCCCAGACUCCUACGGGAGGCAGCAGUGGGGAAGUUUGGACAAUGGGGGAAAUCCUGAUGCAGCCAUCCCGCGUGUGCGAUGAAGGCCUUCGGGUUGUAAAGUACUUUUGGCAGGAAAGCGGUACCUGCAGAAUAAGCACCGGCUAACUACGUGCCAGCAGCCGCGGUAAUAC
rnacentral:rRNA from 1 species